GAUGAACGCUAGCUACAGGCUUAACACAUGCAAGUCGAGGGGCAGCAUGGUCUUAGCUUGCUAAGGCCGAUGGCGACCGGCGCACGGGUGAGUAACACGUAUCCAACCUGCCGUCUACUCUUGGACAGCCUUCUGAAAGGAAGAUUAAUACAAGAUGGCAUCAUGAGUCCGCAUGUUCACAUGAUUAAAGGUAUUCCGGUAGACGAUGGGGAUGCGUUCCAUUAGAUAGUAGGCGGGGUAACGGCCCACCUAGUCUUCGAUGGAUAGGGGUUCUGAGAGGAAGGUCCCCCACAUUGGAACUGAGACACGGUCCAAACUCCUACGGGAGGCAGCAGUGAGGAAUAUUGGUCAAUGGGCGAGAGCCUGAACCAGCCAAGUAGCGUGAAGGAUGACUGCCCUAUGGGUUGUAAACUUCUUUUAUAAAGGAAUAAAGUCGGGUAUGGAUACCCGUUUGCAUGUACUUUAUGAAUAAGGAUCGGCUAACUCCGUGCCAGCAGCCGCGGUAAUACGGAGGAUCCGAGCGUUAUCCGGAUUUAUUGGGUUUAAAGGGAGCGUAGAUGGAUGUUUAAGUCAGUUGUGAAAGUUUGCGGCUCAACCGUAAAAUUGCAGUUGAUACUGGAUAUCUUGAGUGCAGUUGAGGCAGGCGGAAUUCGUGGUGUAGCGGUGAAAUGCUUAGAUAUCACGAAGAACUCCGAUUGCGAAGGCAGCCUGCUAAGCUGCAACUGACAUUGAGGCUCGAAAGUGUGGGUAUCAAACAGGAUUAGAUACCCUGGUAGUCCACACGGUAAACGAUGAAUACUCGCUGUUUGCGAUAUACUGCAAGCGGCCAAGCGAAAGCGUUAAGUAUUCCACCUGGGGAGUACGCCGGCAACGGUGAAACUCAAAGGAAUUGACGGGGGCCCGCACAAGCGGAGGAACAUGUGGUUUAAUUCGAUGAUACGCGAGGAACCUUACCCGGGCUUAAAUUGCAGAUGAAUUACGGUGAAAGCCGUAAGCCGCAAGGCAUCUGUGAAGGUGCUGCAUGGUUGUCGUCAGCUCGUGCCGUGAGGUGUCGGCUUAAGUGCCAUAACGAGCGCAACCCUUGUUGUCAGUUACUAACAGGUUCCGCUGAGGACUCUGACAAGACUGCCAUCGUAAGAUGUGAGGAAGGUGGGGAUGACGUCAAAUCAGCACGGCCCUUACGUCCGGGGCUACACACGUGUUACAAUGGGGGGUACAGAGGGCCGCUACCACGCGAGUGGAUGCCAAUCCCCAAAACCUCUCUCAGUUCGGACUGGAGUCUGCAACCCGACUCCACGAAGCUGGAUUCGCUAGUAAUCGCGCAUCAGCCACGGCGCGGUGAAUACGUUCCCGGGCCUUGUACACACCGCCCGUCAAGCCAUGGGAGCCGGGGGUACCUGAAGUGCGUAACCGCGAGGAGCGCCCUAGGGUAAAACUGGUGACUGGGGCUAAG
rnacentral:rRNA from 2 species